GUAAUAACUAUGAAAAGGCGAGUAAAUAGGAUUGUUUCUAACAGGGAUAAACUGUCGUGAUUGAGAACAGUUUUUAAAAAAGCCUAUUGAAAGAACACCUUGGAGUUGAUGCAUAUGCAUCCGGGGCAUCGUUAAAUGUGAAUAAGUUGGGGCAUAAUAAGUAUGCCCAAAUUGGGUGGCACCGCGGGUAAGUCUCGUCCCAAAA
rfam:Clostridiaceae bacterium BRH_c20a BRHa_1001916, whole genome shotgun sequence.